rnacentral:rRNA from 1 species
GACUCUUCUUGUCUUUUCACCUGCAGCCAGCGUUGGAUUGUUCACCCACCAACAGGGAAUGUGCUGAGAUGACUGUCAUCAGACAAGCCAAUCUCAUCUCUUUGCGCUGUUGCAAGAGCUGUUUGCUGGGUUUUGUUUCGAGGCCCUUGCCAUGCAUCUGGUUUCUGUAGCU